rnacentral:rRNA from 1 species
CCUACGGGGCGCAGCAGGCGCGAAAACUUUACAAUGCGGGAAACCGUGAUAAGGGAACUCCGAGUGCCCGUAAAAUCGGGCUGUCCAUCUGUUUAAAUAACAGGUGAAGAAAGGGCCGGGCAAGACCGGUGCCAGCCGCCGCGGUAAUACCGGCGGCUCGAGUGGUGGCCACUAUUACUGGGCUUAAAGCGUUCGUAGCUGGUCUGUUAAGUCUCUGGGGAAAUCUACUGGCUUAACCAAUAGACGUUUCAGGGAUACUGGCAGACUAGGGACCGGGAGAGGUGAGAGGUACUCCAGGGGUAGGAGUGAAAUCCUGUAAUC